UGACGAAAUUAAAACUCCACAAAUUAUGAAAGACAGGGACACUGUUCUCACAAAAAGUUAUUUUUUUAAAGUUAAAGUUAUCUCUUUAGAAAUAACAUCUUUCAAUAAUGUUGUGUUUCAUGUGGCAGCAAGCAGAGAGAUGUUGAAUGAAGGAUACGGAAAGAUUAUCAACGCUGCCGCCAUGGCCGGUCUAAUAGAGGCACUUCCAGGUCUUCUUACAGUAAAGCAGGAAACUCAAGUGUUGUGAUUGCAUCUUGCCAAGGCAGGUUUGCAUCAUAAUAAACAUCCCCUCUAUGCUGAGCUGUUUGGAGGAUGUGGAAGCCAACCUGAGGUCCAACUUGGGAAGUGAGGCUUCCUGUGCAACGGCAAGAGCCCAACCCGUGCUAGAAGCCUUGUUUGAACAGCGGAAGACAUUUUUGGAGUUUAGUAAGAGCUGUUAAAAGCUAGCUCAGUGUAAAAUGUUUCUCCUCCAACAGGUUUCCUCCAGAGGAACAGCAACACUUCAUCAGCAUUUUAGUCAAAUUGCCAGUAAACUGCUGUGCCAUAUGGGCCCCACUCCUGACUGCAGGGGCAAUCUGUUUAACAGGACCAUGCUGGUAAAUAGAGGCCAGCGCAAGGGGGGUGAAAAAAAAUGAUCAAUUACUCACAUUAUGCACAGUCCUUCAGGAAUUUACUUUAUUGGUCUCGACAUCUGUUUUAAUAUUGUCAUAAUGUAUAAUCAGAUGGGGCCUGUUUCAGCCAAGUGUAAGCCCAAAAACCAGCCAUUAAAGCCCAAUUAAAAUGCACAAUGACA